AGCAAGCUUUUUUAACUGAAGAGUUUGAUCAUGGCUCAGAUUGAACGCUGGCGGCAGGCUUAACACAUGCAAGUCGAGCGGUAACAGGGGAGCUUGCUCCUGCUGACGAGCGGCGGACGGGUGAGUAACGCGUAGGAAUCUGCCUAGUAGAGGGGGACAACAUGUGGAAACGCAUGCUAAUACCGCAUACACCCUGAGGGGGAAAGGAGGGGAUCACUUGUGACCUUCCGCUAUUAGAUGAGCCUGCGUAAGAUUAGCUAGUUGGUAGGGUAAAGGCCUACCAAGGCGACGAUCUUUAACUGGUCUGAGAGGAUGGCCAGUCACACUGGGACUGAGACACGGCCCAGACUCCUACGGGAGGCAGCAGUGGGGAAUAUUGGACAAUGGGCGCAAGCCUGAUCCAGCCAUGCCGCGUGUGUGAAGAAGGCCUUAGGGUUGUAAAGCACUUUCAGGGGUGAGGAAGGGCGUUUGG
rnacentral:rRNA from 1 species